AUCAUUACCGAGAGAGGGGCCUCGCGCUCCCGGGGGCUUCGGCCUCCACCUCUUCACCCUGUGUGUACCUACCUUUGUUGCUUUGGCGGGCCCUCGGGGGUCUCCCCCGCGCGGGCCUCCGGGUCAGUGAGCGCCCGUCAGAGGCCCAAUUAAAUCCGUUUUAUCAGUGUCGUCCGAGUACCAAUAUACAAUAUAUCAAAACUUUCAACAACGGAUCUCUUGGUUCCAGCAUCGAUGAAGAACGCAGCGAAAUGCGAUAAGUAAUGUGAAUUGCAGAAUUCAGUGAAUCAUCGAAUCUUUGAACGCACAUUGCGCCCCUCGGUAUUCCGGGGGGCAUGCCUGUUCGAGCGUCAUUACACCCUUCAAGCGUAGCUUGGUAUUGGGCUUUCGCCGUCCGCGGCGUGCCCGGAAAUCAGUGGCGGUCCGGCGUGACUCUUAGGCGUAGUAAAAUUAUCCCGCUUGGAAAGUUUGCGUCUGGCCGGCCAGCAACCCCACCAUUUGCUUCAAUAAUUGAC
rnacentral:rRNA from 1 species